rnacentral:rRNA from 1 species
AUGAACGGGAGUGUGAGAAAUCGCACAAGCGGGAAGAAGGGGAGGAAGGGCGACGUUGGUGAGUGGCGGACGGGUGAGUAACACGUAGGUAAUCUGCCUCAAAGUGGGGGAUAACUGUUCGAAAGAGCAGCUAAUACCGCAUGUGAUCCGGUUUAGGAUCGGAGGAAAGGCGCAAGUCGCUUUGAGAUGAGCCUGCGGCCGAUUAGCUAGUUGGUGAGGUAACGGCCCACCAAGGCAGAGAUCGGUAGCUGGUCUGAGAGGAUGAUCAGCCACACUGGGAUUGAGACACGGCCCAGACUCCUACGGGAGGCAGCAGUAAGGAAUAUUGCACAAUGGGGGAAACCCUGAUGCAGCAACGCCGCGUGGGUGAUGAAGGCUUUCGAGUUGUAAAACCCUUUACUGUGGGAUGAGCAAGGGCAAGUACCACAGCAACAAGUCUCGGCUAACUACGUGCCAGCAGCCGCGGUGAGACGUAGGAGGCGAGCGUUAUCCGGAUUCACUGGGCGUAAAGGGCAAGUAGGCGGUUGUUCAAGUUGGGCGUGACAGAUCUCGGCUUAACUGAGAGAGGUCGUCCAAUACUGAGCGACUAGAGGGCAGGAGAGGAAAGUGGAACUCCCGAUGUAGCGGUGGAAUGCUCAGAUAUCCGGAGGAACACCAGUGGCGAAAGCGGCCUCCUGGACCACUUCUGACGCUCAGACGCGAAAGCUAAGGUAGCAAACGGGAUUAGAGACCCCGGUAGUCUUAGCUGUAAACGAUGUGAACUUGGCGUCGGUGGGUUUAAAUCCAUCGGUGCCGAAGCAAACGCGAUAAGUUCACCGCCUGGGGACCACGGCCGCAAGGUUAAAACUCAAANGAAUUGACGGGGCCCCGCACAAGCAGCGGAGCGUGUGGUUUAAUUCGAUGUUACACGAAGAACCUUACCAGGGUUUGACAUGCAAGUGGUAGGAAGCCGAAAGGUGACCGACCCUUCGGGGAGCUUGCACAGGUGCUGCAUGGCUGUCGUCAGCUCGUGUCGUGAGAUGUUCGGUUAAGUCCGCUAACGAGCGCAACCCUCGCUGUGUGUUAUAUGUGUCACACGGGACUGCCGGUCUUAAGCCGGAGGAAGGUGGGGAUGAUGUCAAGUCAGCAUGGCCUUUAUAUCCUGGGCUACACACACGCUACAAUGACCAACACAAUAGGUUGCUAAGCCGCGAGGUGGCGCCAAUCCAUAAAAUUAAUCUCAGUUCAGAUUGAGGGCUGCAACUCGCCCUCAUGAAGCCGGAAUCGCUAGUAAUCGCAGGUCAGCUAUACUGCGGUGAAUACGUUCUCGAGUCUUGUACUCACUGCCCGUCAAGCCAGGGGAGCCGGGGGCGAAUGAAGUUUCACUUCGGUGGAAUAAGUUCGAAUUCGGUGACAUGGGCUAAGUCGUAACAAGGUAGCC